AUUUACUGGCCCCCUAUUCUCCUGGAUGCACCUGUGAGAGCCGUUCUGCCCUGGUUGGCCCCAUGGCACUCAGGAUAAAAGGCAGAUAAUAUCCACGGACACAGAGUUCCCUUAGGCCU